rnacentral:rRNA from 1 species
UACGGGGGGGGCAAGCGUUGUUCGGAAUUACUGGGCGUAAAGGGCUCGUAGGUGGCCAACUGAGUCAGACGUGAAAUCCCUCGGCUUAACCGGGGAACUGCGUCUGAUACUGGAUGGCUUGAGUUCGGGAGAGGGAUGCGGAAUUCCAGGUGUAGCGGUGAAAUGCGCAGAUAUCAGGAGGAACACCGGUGGCGAAGGCGGGUCUCUGGGCCGAUACUGACGCUGAGGAGCGAAAGCGUGGGGAGCGAACAGG